rnacentral:rRNA from 1 species
AGAGUUUGAUCCUGGCUCAGGAUGAACGCUGGCGGCGUGCUUAACACAUGCAAGUCGAACGAUGAUCCCAGCUUGCUGGGGGAUUAGUGGCGAACGGGUGAGUAACACGUGAGUAACCUGCCCUUAACUCUGGGAUAAGCCUGGGAAACUGGGUCUAAUACCGGAUAUGACUCCUCAUCGCAUGGUGGGGGGUGGAAAGCUUUAUUGUGGUUUUGGAUGGACUCGCGGCCUAUCAGCUUGUUGGUGAGGUAAUGGCUCACCAAGGCGACGACGGGUAGCCGGCCUGAGAGGGUGACCGGCCACACUGGGACUGAGACACGGCCCAGACUCCUACGGGAGGCAGCAGUGGGGAAUAUUGCACAAUGGGCGAAAGCCUGAUGCAGCGACGCCGCGUGAGGGAUGACGGCCUUCGGGUUGUAAACCUCUUUCAGUAGGGAAAAAGCGAAAGUGACGGUACCUGCAGAAGAAGCGCCGGCUAACUACGUGCCAGCAGCCGCGGUAAUACGUAGGGCGCAAGCGUUAUCCGGAAUUAUUGGGCGUAAAGAGCUCGUAGGCGGUUUGUCGCGUCUGCCGUGAAAGUCCGGGGCUCAACUCCGGAUCUGCGGUGGGUACGGGCAGACUAGAGUGAUGUAGGGGAGACUGGAAUUCCUGGUGUAGCGGUGAAAUGCGCAGAUAUCAGGAGGAACACCGAUGGCGAAGGCAGGUCUCUGGGCAUUAACUGACGCUGAGGAGCGAAAGCAUGGGGAGCGAACAGGAUUAGAUACCCCGGUAGUCC